UGUUGCAUGAUAGUUAAAUAUAAAUGGAAGCAAUUUACAUUUAUAAGUUUGAUAAUGAUAAUAACUGGGAAUAAUGACUGGCAAUAGUUUCUGAUCAUCUAUUGUGUACCAGAUGCUUUACAAAGUAAGGUCUUUGCUACUUAAAGUAAGGUCUUCAGAUUAGCAAGAUUUUGUAAGAAAAACAGAAUCUCAGACCCCAUCUCAAACUUACUGAAUCAAAAAUCUACACUUUAAUAAGACCUCUGGGUAUGAGUGAGAAUCUCGUUAAUAAACAGUAAAUUCUGAGAAGCAUUGCAUUAUCUCAUGUGUUCUUUCCAGUAACUAGCAAAUAAGGUAACCAGCCCCUAUUAUCUAUGAGGAGAACUAGAGAAGCAGAGGUAAUAUUCAAAAUAUUUGGCCCCUGAUUCAACACAGGCAUCAGCAGUAAGAGAGGAGACCUGAAUGGGAGUGGGAGUAGGUAUCCAAUAUCAGCCCUGCCAAGAUCUGAAGGACCCAGCUGAGAUGUCUGAUCUCAGACCCUGAUCAGCAGAGCUAGGAUUCAGAUCCUGCUUUGUGAGUCACAGAAACAUAUACUUCUCACACAAUCCCAGAGUGAUUAUUAUGACUGUUACACUAAUAAACCAAGAAUUUCUAAAGUCACCUGGGGUGAGAAGCAGAUACAAAAUAGAUACAAAAUUUAAAAGACUGUACUGUGUCAAAUUUCCCUCUGUCCAUCCACUUCUUUAUUUCAUUUUAAACCCUCUGCCCUAACACUCUACUUGAAGCUAUCCAGCCCCAGAAUGGGCCAGAUGGUGUGGAGUUUCUGUCAAAGAAAUAAAGGCCAGGCCCCUUGGGGAUGGAUACAGUGUGAUAUUCCAUGGGUCAGUUCAUUUACCUGCAAAGACCCUCUGUGAUAUUAUGGCACCAAGUUCCUAAAACCCUUGAAAUUCCUUAAGAGAUGUGAGCAGAUGAUAUCUUUUGUUAUGUUAGUGAGGCAACUUUGGGACCACCCUAAGGAUGGAAGUUUGUUGCCUAGAGAAUCAACCAAGCAAUUUUUUUUUUUUUUUUUUUUUUUGUCUUUUUGCUAUUUCUUGGGCCGCUCCUGUGGCAUAUGGAGGUUCCCAGGCUAGGGGUUGAAUCGGAGCUGUAGCCACCGGCCUACACCAGGGCCACAGCAACGCGGGAUCCGAGCCGCGUCUGCAACCUACACCACAGCUCACGGCAACGCUGGAUCGUUAACCCACUGAGCAAGGGCAGGGACCGAACCUCACGGUUCCUAGUUGGAUUCGUUAACCACUGCGCCACGACGGGAACUCCUCAACCAAGCAGUCCCACCUCCAGGAGCGGAGAGGGGCUGGAGGUUGAAUCAAUCACCAAUGUCCAAUGAUUUAAUCAAUCGUGGCUAUGUAAUGCCACCUCCACAAACACCCAAAAGGACAGGAGUCAGAGAGCUUUCAAGGUGGGUGACCACGUGGAGAUUUGGGGAGAGGGCAUGGGAGCCACUGGAUGCCCUUUCCCCAUAACUUGCCCUAUGCAUCUCUUCCAUCUCACUGUUCUUGAGUUAUAUUCUUUUAUAGCAAAUGGGUAAUCUAGUGGGUAAAAUAUUUCUCUGAGUUUUGUUAUCCACUCUAGCAAGUUAACCGAGCUUGAGGAGACCAUGCAAACCUCUGAUCUAUAGCCUGUCAGUCAGAAGCACAGAUGACAACCUGGACUUUCAAUGGGUGUCUGAACUGGUGGGGAACAGUCUUGUAGGACUGAGCCCUUAAAGUGUGGGGUCUGAUUCUACUUCCAGGUAGGUGGUGUCAGAAUUGAGUUGAAUUCAUGGACACCCAGCUUAUGUGGCAGAAAAUUAUUUGCUGUGGGGGAAACACUCCACACAUAAAGUGAGCACAAGCGUUGGAAGUGAAGUGUCCUGCGUUAGUGUGGUAGGAGUGUAUAUAAUACAGGAGACAAAAUAGGAGAAAGACUCACGGGUGGAAAAUUUGGGUGUUUUCUAACACAUUUACCAAAAUGUAGAGAUUUUGUCUCUGAGACUGCUAUUUCCACAGUAAGAGAUCAUGGAGUUUUUCUGGUGACACUCUGGUGAAAUCCCUGUCACCCUCUGUUUGGAGGAAGUCCAUGUUCACUUUACUCCCUACAGUCCUCUUAUUCACAGUGCAGAGAAAUCCUUUUCUCAUUCUUCCCUUGUCAUUGUCACCAUACCCAGGAGCUUUCGCCAGGCUCAGCUGGGGAAAUACCUGCCUGAUUCUCUUUUUCAUUCUUAGAGCUGUGACCACAGGUAAUAGGAAAACAAGUUAUUUAUUUCUCUGGAAAACAUCAUCUCACGGUUACAAGCAAAAUCACAGAUAUAUCCAAACUUCAGUGUUGGAAGCAUUUGGGGGUAGUCUUAUUUUUUCUUUUAAACUUUUUAUUGAUGUAUAAUAUAUUUUUGAAAUGGUACAUAUAUCACACAUAUACAGAUUUAUGAAUUUUCAAAAACUGAAUAAACCCACGUAACCAACACCCUGUUCAACAAAUGAAACAUCACCAAUGGGACAGUCUUUUAACUGCCCAUUUAUGGCAGGCUUUGUGAAUUGCCAGGGGUAAACAGCCCUCCUGAUUAUAACCCAUCUCAUUCUGAAGAAGUCAAAUUUGUGAACGUAGCCACAAACUGAGUUGCAGGCUGAUAGCUGGAGAGUAAGUUGUGGGUGGGGUGUUUACUCAUUAGAAUGGGAAAACUUGAUUAUGUUCAAGUUCUCAUUUGUUAGGUCUUGCAUCAGAAGUUGUGGCAUUAUUUGCAGCUCUCAAAGUCCACUGCAUUUUCUAGAAUAGAAUUUGCCUCCCUUAUCCUGUCCUGGAGGGCCUCAUCUUUUUUUACUUCAUCUUAGCAUGAGAUUAGCAAGAUUGGUCAGCCAUUGUUAGCUAUAGUAUAUUCCACUUGGACUGGUCUUUUUUCUCUUUCAUCAAACAUCUUCCAGUGAUUUCUCCUAGUUGAUCUGUUGUGGUGUGCCAGUGGGGGCGGGGGGAAGGCAUGACCUAAGAGUUAAGAAUUAUUUUAUUUGGCAGACUUACUGAGAACUUAAUUCCUGAAGUCAGCCUCUCAGAUAGCUCUGAGAGACUGUUUCAAAGAGGUAAGGGAACAAACAUGUAUAGGAGUUUUUGCAAAACAAACAAAAAUGGGUAGUCAGAACAUCAAAAGAUUAUUGCUAAAUAAAGAAAAAUAAGAUAGGUCAGUGAAUUUAGCUCUUUUCUUUGUAUGGGAAGAUGCAAGAAUCUGGGCUCAUUGAAAACAGUGCUUUAAUAUGCACCUUAGCUAUUUAGGGCCCGUAUCCUGUUUUUUCCAUCCUGAAUCCCUUUAAGGUGCAUAAUCAUGUGUGAUGGCUGCAGUGCCUGAUGGCUUGAUGGCUGCAACAUCUUUUAUUUACUGAUAUGGCAAGUGACAUUCUUUGUCCACAAGUUUCCUUCCAAUUGGAGUGGGAAGUCAUGGGAAUCCCAGCUGCUGUACUUGGAAUCACUGGUCCUUGGGAGGUGAGGUCAUUCUACAUGGUUUGUAUGUUUCUAAAGCCAUGAACCAUCCCAGAAAUCUCUCUUGUGGCCAUUGUUAUUUCUCAGGCUCUAAGACUUCCAUCCUCUCCUGUGUCACUGGUAUAGUUUAACAAGACCCAAAGACUCUUAGGAUCUUGGAGACAUGCCGUCUGUUAAUUUCUCCAGUUUUUGGUAGAAGUAUCUUCUGACCAAGUCACACGGUAAUAUCCACCUCCAUAAAGAAGCUGGGAUUUACUACUGAAGCAGUAACAAGUGUGCAAUAAUCAAAGCAAGAAGAAACCCAACUUAAAUAUUUGUCAUUUUUCAGGAAAUUUAGUGCUUUAUGGAUGUUGGGUGAAAAGUGAUGACAGCUUUCAAACUCCAUAAGAGAGAAAUUAACUUUUCCUUAAGUUAUUGAAGCAACACAAUAUCACAUAAGUUUGAUUUCCUACCUGAGGCAGAUGGUUUUGACCAUAUUUUCAAUUCUAGAUGCAAUUUGAAUUUCAUUGAUAUUUUAUCAAUGUUUCAUUAGUAACCCAGUAGAGAUCUAAAAAAAGAGAGCAGGAGCAAACAGGCUUAGAAAUGCUACAACUUGGCAUCCUGCAUAUUAUAUUCGGAAAGCAAAUGACUCUGCCAGCCCAGAUUCAGGGAGUAGAGAAACAGAUUCUACCCUAAUGAUGAGAUGCAAUGUGACUUUUCAACUACUCCCAACAAAGGGAGUAUUCCAGAUGCUCCCUGCUUAUGGAUUAGUUAAUGGCCAGCAACCUCCCCCAAACCCUAAUUGCCUCCCUUGACAAGCUGCUAACUACAAACAUACACAAGUCCCAUUGAGACCAGAACUGUCUCUCUAAGCCCAGGCCAACUGGCAAUCCAUGGAAUUGUGAACUAAAUAGUUAUUGUUUUAUUACCUCACUAACUUUUAGAAAGAUUGAUACCCAGCAAAAACUAAGUGAUAGACUGUCCUAUAAGAUACUAAAAAAAAAAUUACUGUAACUAUUUACAUUCAAAUUUAAUUCUGGUUUUAUUUUUGUCUUUUGGAAGACAUUAAAGGGUAUCUAACUCACAGCCUACAGCCCCACUUCUGAGAAAAAUAAACAAAAGAGCAUGAACAAUCCCUUAUCCUUCACGCUAUAAUCCCUCCAGCAGAUCUGGAGCCCUUCUUGCCUCAUUCUGAAACCACUCCUCAAACUUCUGUCGAAUACCCUGCCCACCCACGCUCCUCACUUCCUGUCUCAAAAAGCCACAGUUUGCUUCGCUGACCCUAUGACGGAGUGAUUCUGGGGACCUGCCCUUGGCUGCGAGGGGGCAGCCAGAGGAUCCAGCAGCUGCCUGCCCUCUUGUCCUUGCUUGCUCACAAAGACAACUGUGGCUGGGGCUUCUUGGAAAAGCUGGGCUUUUUUCUCACUCUGAUUGAUUUCCUUACAAAGAAACCUCCUAAAAAACUU
rnacentral:lncRNA from 1 species